GAAACAGCGUUGAUAAGGACUGUCCUUGUCUGGAGCCUCUAAAGCGAGCAGGAAGUGGUGAAAGCCUGUGAGGAAAAACAAGGAGUAUCCCCUUAGAGUGAAGUGCAGAAAUUAAGUAAGCCUUCCGUCCGGUCCCCGUUAAAGGACUUCCGAGUGGCCAUAGCAAUGGCAACAAGGGUGGUACCGCGAGUGAUAUCCCGUCCCUUUU
rnacentral:ncRNA from 1 species